UACGUAGGGUGCGAGCGUUAAUCGGAAUUACUGGGCGUAAAGCGUGCGCAGGCGGUCUGUUAAGACCGAUGUGAAAUCCCCGGGCUUAACCUGGGAACUGCAUUGGUGACUGGCAGGCUUUGAGUGUGGCAGAGGGAGGUAGAAUUCCACGUGUAGCAGUGAAAUGCGUAGAGAUGUGGAGGAAUACCGAUGGCGAAGGCAGCCUCCUGGGCCAACACUGACGCUCAUGCACGAAAGGCGUGGGGAGCAAACAGG
rnacentral:rRNA from 1 species